GCUCUGGGCCCCACAUAAUUAGCAUCGUGAAACCCUAAUCAUUUUCUUUAGCAACUCAAAGGACAUAUCUAUCUGGGCCAUCUCUGCUUGAUUCCAUGAAAUUUAUUAGAAGCUUCUUUAUCUUUGUUUUUCCUUUUUUUAAGGAUGCACUUAGAGUGAGCUUGAAGGAAUCCCACUUAUUGUUUGCCAAGUGUCGUCCUAUAAUAUACAUCCAUAUGUAUACUUGAGUUCAAUCUCGCGUCAUACUCUUUGCUGUCUCUCAAUUGAAAUCAUAGAUAAAAUCCAUUUAUACUGGUCGAUUUCUUGCUGGAUUGUCUUCUGUCGUGUUUUCGAGUUCCGUGUUUAGCAGUGAAAUCCAGACGAAUGGUGUAAUAUCUACUGAUUCUACUCUGUCGUGUUUUUCUAUUAUCUUUAUUCUGGGUUUGAACAAGCCGCGUGUUUGUGUACCAGUGAAAACUUGGGAAACCAUGUCAAAUCAAAAAAAGAGUCAAAAGUCAAAAUCUGGAACAGUGAAAAAGAGGCAGAUUUUAUUAAUAUUUUUGACAAAGAUCCUUAACUCAUUGUCUUGGGAUUUCAACAAGUUACCUUUCUUUCACAUUCUUCUUUUUACCCAUAAACAGUGACAAAAACUUGCGAAUUCAAGCAUCACUAGAAUUCCUCUUGUUCCUUUUCUUUGAGGUCACCUUUUUCAAUACACACAAAGAACGCAUAACCCCUUUUCUUCCUACUGAUUUUUUUGCUAUUUUAUUGUAAUUUCUUGUGUAAAAAUCAUGGAUCCCAAGGGCUCAAAGCAGCCGCAGGAGGUAUCAAGUUUCUUGAAUAACAGCACAGGGAUGAGCGAGAAUAAGUCAGCAGAGAUGAAGGAUUUUCAGAUUGUGGUUGCAGAGAAAGAAGAAGGGAAGAAACAGGCACUGGCACCCAAGAGAAGCUCGAGUAAAGAUAGGCACACGAAAGUUGAAGGUAGAGGGAGGAGGAUAAGGAUGCCAGCCCUUUGUGCUGCAAGAAUUUUUCAGCUGACCAGAGAAUUGGGACACAAAUCUGAUGGAGAAACUAUACAGUGGCUGUUACAGCAAGCGGAGCCAUCGAUAAUAGCUGCUACAGGGACGGGGACUAUACCGGCAUCGGCUUUAGCAGCAGCCGGGGUUUCUAUUUCCCAGCAGGGGAACUCUAUAUCAGCAGGGAUUCACCAAAAGAUGGAUGAAUUUGGUGGGCAUAUGGGGGGGUCAGGUGGGGGAGGGGGUGGGAAUAGGUCCAGUUGGCCUAUGGUAAAUUUGGGGAGACCCCAUAUGGCAAGUGCAGGGAUAUGGCCCCCUGCUGUCAGUGGUUUUGGAUUUCAGUCAUCAUCAUCAUCAUCUUCUGGUCCAUCAACAGUUAAUCUGGGUAGUGAGGGUUCUAAUUACUUGCAGAAGAUUGGGUUCCCAGGGUUUGACUUGCCAUCAAGCAAUAUGGGGCCAAUGAGUUUUACCUCAAUUUUGGGUGCUACAAACCAGCAGCUUCCAGGAUUGGAGCUUGGGCUAUCCCAAGAUUCUCAUAUUGGGGUUUUGAAUCCUCAAGCAAUGAACCAGCUUUACCAGCAGAUGGGAGAGUCUAGGAUGCACUCUCAACAGCAGCAGCAUCAGCUUCAGCAGCAACCAUCUCCCAAGGAUGAUUCUCAGGGAUCGGGACAGUAGAUUGGUUCGAAAUACAUAUUCAAGUUUCGAAAAGCACGAAAAAUGAAGGGGUAUCUUUGCGGAGAAGAUGGAUUUUGUGGAUGAUUUGGUUUCUUUCACUGUAACUAUCCAAGAAUUCUAAAAGGUGUGCAUUUGGUUUGCUCAUCCUUCCUUCUCCCAGGCCUACAGCUUCAUCCCAUUCUCCAGAUACAGGUUCUCCUGGAUCAUCAUUUUAUUGUUUUCAUUUUACCUUCAAGUUCCUGUAUAAAUUAUAGAGAUGUUAGAUGUCACUUUUACAGAAUUGCUUAUGCUCUGAAAUCUGGAGGUGGAACUGUGCCUACUGCCUACGAAGUCAGGAAUUGAGCUAAUGUUUUUGUUUAUCUUCAAGGGUGUGUUCAUCAUAGUUUAAAGGAUCUUUCCAUUAUUUUGGUGAUAUAUAUGUAUAUUUGGUAUAUUACCUAAUUUAUUGUGUGAAAAGAGGAAACAAGGAAUUAUGUGCUUACAAUCCUAUAUUUUGCUGAAGCAAGUGAUGUUCAUUCGUUGCAGCUGAUAGCUUUCUAAAAGUUAAGGGUAGCUAGUUGCUUGUUUAGAUUAGUAAACAUUAGGCGGAUACAAUAUAUUCUCCGGUUGAAAUCUAAUCUUGUUUAUAGCUUUUCUUUUCUUUUCUUUUUCAACACAAUGAUCUCAUAAUGACUUUUAUCUUGGGGGAAGGCCUGAUUUACCUCAACACUGUAGAAUAAAAAACUCAGCUUUAUUCUCUAUUUGCUGGGGAGUAGAGGAUUUGGUACUGAACCUGCCAAUUUAGCUUAAAUGCAUAUUUGAGUAAAUCAGUAAUCUCCUAGUGAAUUUUUAUUGGAUCUGCAUUGCUU
rnacentral:lncRNA from 1 species